rnacentral:rRNA from 1 species
UACGGGGGGGGCAAGCGUUGUUCGGAAUUACUGGGCGUAAAGGGCUCGUAGGCGGCCAACUAAGUCAGACGUGAAAUCCCUCGGCUUAACCGGGGAACUGCGUCUGAUACUGGAUGGCUUGAGUUCGGGAGAGGGAUGCGGAAUUCCAGGUGUAGCGGUGAAAUGCGUAGAUAUCUGGAGGAACACCGGUGGCGAAGGCGGCAUCCUGGACCGAUACUGACGCUGAUGAGCGAAA